UCGAGAAUCUUCCGCAAUGCGCGAAAGCGUGACGGAGCGACGCCGCGUGGGUGAUGAAGGCCUUCGGGUUGUAAAGCCCUGUUGUCCGUGAGGAAAGGCGAGCGGUGAAGAGCCGUUUGUUUGACUUUAGCGGACGAGGAAGCACCGGCUAAAUACGUGCCAGCAGCCGCGGUAAUACGUAUGGUGCAAACGUUGUUCGGAAUCACUGGGCAUAAAGAGCGCGUAGGCGGUCUGGUAAGUCUGACUGUGAAAUCCCUCGGCUCAACCGAGGAACUGCAUCGGAUACUGCCGGACUAGAGCGCAGUAGGGGAGAGUGGAAUUCCAGGUGGAGCGGUGAAAUGCGUAGAUAUCUGGAGGAACACCAGUGGCGAAAGCGACUCUCUGGACUGCACCUGACGCUGAGGCGCGAAAGCCAGGGGAGCAAACGGGAUUAGAUACCCCCGUAGUCC
rnacentral:rRNA from 1 species